GACGAACGCUGGCGGCGUGCUUAACACAUGCAAGUCGAACGGAAAGGCCCCUUUGGGGGUACUCGAGUGGCGAACGGGUGAGUAACACGUGAGUAACCUGCCCUUGACUUCGGGAUAACUUCAGGAAACUGGGGCUAAUACCGGAUAGGAAUCCUUGCUGCAUGGUGGGGGUUGGAAAGCUUCGGCGGUUUUGGAUGGACUCGCGGCUUAUCAGCUUGUUGGUGGGGUAGUGGCUUACCAAGGCUUUGACGGGUAGCCGGCCUGAGAGGGCGACCGGCCACAUUGGGACUGAGAUACGGCCCAGACGCCGACGGGAGGCAGAAGUGGGGAAGAUUGCACAAGGGGCGGAAGCCUGAUGCAGCAACGCCGCGUGCGGGAGGACGGCCUUCGGGUUGGAAACCGCGUUCAGCAGGGGCGAAGCUUGUGGUGACGGUACCUGCAGAAGAAGCACCGGCUAACUACGUG
rnacentral:rRNA from 1 species